GAAGGUGUGUCGUGAGGCAUGCUGGAGGUAUCAGAAGUGCGAAUGCUGACAUAAGUAACGAUAAAGCGGGUGAAAAGCCCGCUCGCCGGAAGACCAAGGGUUCCUGUCCAACGUUAAUCGGGGCAGGGUGAGUCGACCCCUAAGGCGAGGCCGAAAGGCGUAGUCGAUGGGAAACGGGUUAAUAUUCCCGUACUUGGUGUUACUGCGAAGGGGGGACGGAGAAGGCUAUGUUGGCCGGGCGACGGUUGUCCCGGUUUAAGCGUGUAGGUGUGUGUUCCAGGUAAAUCCGGUUCACUUUAACACUGAGGCGUGACGACGAGGCACUACGGUGCUGAAGCAACAAAUGCCCUGCUUCCAGGAAAAGCCUCUAAGCAUCAGGUAACAUCAAAUCGUACCCCAAACCGACACAGGUGGUCAGGUAGAGAAUACCAAGGCGCUUGAGAGAACUCGGGUGAAGGAACUAGGCAAAAUGGUGCCGUAACUUCGGGAGAAGGCACGCUGACACGUAGGUGAAGUGAUUUACUCAUGGAGCUGAAGUCAGUCGAAGAUACCAGCUGGCUGCAACUGUUUAUUAAAAACACAGCACUGUGCAAACACGAAAGUGGACGUAUACGGUGUGACGCCUGCCCGGUGCCGGAAGGUUAAUUGAUGGGGUCAGCGCAAGCGAAGCUCCUGAUCGAAGCCCCGGUAAACGGCGGCCGUAACUAUAACGGUCCUAAGGUAGCGAAAUUCCUUGUCGGGUAAGUUCCGACCUGCACGAAUGGCGUAAUGAUGGCCAGGCUGUCUCCACCCGAGACUCAGUGAAAUUGAACUCGCUGUGAAGAUGCAGUGUACCCGCGGCAAGACGGAAAGACCCCGUGAACCUUUACUAUAGCUUGACACUGAACAUUGAGCCUUGAUGUGUAGGAUAGGUGGGAGGCUUUGAAGUGUGGACGCCAGUCUGCAUGGAGCCGACCUUGAAAUACCACCCUUUAAUGUUUGAUGUUCUAACGUGGACCCGUUACCCGGGUUGCGGACAGUGUCUGGUGGGUAGUUUGACUGGGGCGGUCUCCUCCUAAAGAGUAACGGAGGAGCACGAAGGUUGGCUAAUCCUGGUCGGACAUCAGGAGGUUAGUGCAAUGGCAUAAGCCAGCUUGACUGCGAGCGUGACGGCGCGAGCAGGUGCGAAAGCAGGUCAUAGUGAUCCGGUGGUUCUGAAUGGAAGGGCCAUCGCUCAACGGAUAAAAGGUACUCCGGGGAUAACAGGCUGAUACCGCCCAAGAGUUCAUAUCGACGGCGGUGUUUGGCACCUCGAUGUCGGCUCAUCACAUCCUGGGGCUGAAGUAGGUCCCAAGGGUAUGGCUGUUCGCCAUUUAAAGUGGUACGCGAGCUGGGUUUAGAACGUCGUGAGACAGUUCGGUCCCUAUCUGCCGUGGGCGCUGGAGAACUGAGGGGGGCUGCUCCUAGUACGAGAGGACCGGAGUGGACGCAUCACUGGUGUUCGGGUUGUCAUGCCAAUGGCACUGCCCGGUAGCUAAAUGCGGAAGAGAUAAGUGCUGAAAGCAUCUAAGCACGAAACUUGCCCCGAGAUGAGUUCUCCCUGAGACUUUAGGUCUCCUGAAGGAACGUUGAAGACGACGACGUUGAUAGGCCGGGUGUGUAAGCGCAGCGAUGCGUUGAGCUAACCGGUACUAAUGAACCGUGAGGCUUAACCUUACAACGCCGAAG
rnacentral:rRNA from 3 species